GACAAAUCGGAGAAGGACAAAAGUACAUCAUAGCCCAUUCGACUAGAGAGGAAUUCCCUUAGGCUGAAAGGAAUUCGGGAUGAAGAAUGAUGGAAAGCUAGGUCCCGAGUGCAGCAAUUACUGCCGUUUGCCGCGUUAAGGCGUUUGAGAGGCGGAUGAUAACGAUGAUCCGCAAUCAGGGUGGUACCGCGAACAAGCUUCGUCCCUGUU
rnacentral:ncRNA from 1 species